CUGCACUGUAAAAUGUAAUUCUAGCUGUUUGUUAUUUCAACAUAUUAUUCUAUAUCAGUUUGACGAUAGAUGACUGAAGUUGUUGUUAUAACAUAGAAUUACAAGUUAAAAACGUCCCAAUUACACCAAAAAAAGCUAACUUGAAAACUCAAGUCCAGCUAAAUCAGCAACUUAUGUGAACUUGACAAUGUGGGUAAGUUGAGCACAGCAGGAUUCAAAACUGCCUCACGUGACUGCUACCGAGGUGCAUCAUGGGGAAUUGGCGGUUAACGACAUGCUCACUUUACUUGGACGUUUUCUAAUCGUCUUCUUUGGAAUAUGCUUUCAAGGUCUGUGAAGCCAAAACUUGAUGCUGGGGAUUUAUUUUUGUCAGUGGAGUCAAAUGGUCUAGAUGAUCACAUCUGACUUUGUCAUUUAAAUGAGGUGGACUUGCAAACUUUGCACUCUUUUGGGUAAAUUGCUGUCCACUACAUAUACACAGAAUGUGCACAGUAUUUCAGAUCUAAAAAGGGAGUAUGUAAUGGACUUGCUGGCUUUAAUGUAAAAAGCCUGUUGUGUAACUUUAAUGAGGCAGUUGGACUAAAACAAUAUUGCUCAUCAAGGUAAACAUCUGAGGAAUAAGGAAACUGUUACUUGUCCUUUUACUCAGUGUUCUUUUAAUCGCACGUUUACUAAAGUUUUACAUCACAUAAGUCAUUUUCACAAUCAUUCUACUUUAAAAGAUUUCAAGACAGAGCUUAUUGUUCUCUGAACUUCCUUGUUUGCUGAACGGCAGGUAAAGUGCAUCUUUUUGUUUGUUUACUUUUGUGUGUUUGUGUUUUCUCUAAUGGGCCUCAGAUGACCGUUUGCUUAAAUUUGGGUCUCAAAGAAUCUUUUUUUUAUUCUGCCUGUACUCUCCACCCCUCUUCUUCUAUUGCUCAGGUUGAAGCAGAAUUUGCCCGUCUUACAUCUGUUGACCUGAAAGGGUUCCUUUUGCUGUGCUUGACCAUUAUGGAGAGGUUCGUGGAGCUGUACAAAAUCAAGAGCAGCAUAGGAGGGCUAACUAGGCUCAUAAGAUGCUUCGGUGAUGAUAGCCCUACACAAAGGAAGAGGACAGAGGACCUCAUUUUCUAAAGGAAGAUCCCUCACACACUUUCAAGACUGUGAAGCCGACAGGUAUUGAAGACACGUUUUCUAAGAGGAUGAAAGUUGGCAUUGCGAUGGUGAAAGAAGAAGACAUCAUCGAUGUGUUGGUUGUCCUUGAGGCGGCAGUAAUCCUGUCUAAUCUGAGGAAUGUCUCAAGUGCCAUUUCCAUGCUGAUGGGCCUUCUUUUUGCCCUCAACAUAGACUAUCCAAAGGAACUUAAGGACAUCUUUGAAGUCAUUCAGAACAUCCUAAUGAACAUUGGUGGAAGUCAGUGCAUCUCACUAGUGCAUGGUCUAAGAAACAGACUCUUGCAGAAAGCCAUG
ensembl:lncRNA